rnacentral:lncRNA from 1 species
AGGCUUCAUCUCCAUAUAAUACCCAAACUGUCGUCUCGCAAGAAUUGGGCUGUAGCUAAUUCCUCCCUGCGUACCAAGAAGAGGUACAUUGUUGAAGUCACCACAACUGUCAAUAAUAAACUCUGGGUCACAAGAUGGGUUGAACCAGAUUAUGUCCUUUGGGGUCCAAGUCAUGAGCUUUUGGGACCAAGGGAUAGGUUCUGGUCUAAUACUGGGACGGGGUAAGUGUGAAGUAAUCCAGCGGUGGAGUAAAGGUGUACAACAGACGAUGGUCCCCUUUCCAUGACUAGUGCGAUCAUGAAUAGCAACAUACGUGUCAGCGAGUAAAACAGGAACCGGGUUUUGGGUUAAGAAGAU